UAUUUCUAACGAUAUAAAUUAGGAAUUAGGAUUAGGUUUCUCUCUACAAACAACAGAUUGUCUACGACUACGUGCUGCGACUGCUCAAUGUCGAGUGCGACUGUGCGAGUACAAUAGAGAUGGCGACUUCACGACCUCGACGCUGAUGACUCUCUCCUCCAUGACUCUCUACUCAAUUUCUCUCAACUCAUCUCUUAGAAUCAAAUAGAGUUAGCCUCACGAACUGUUUACAUAAAUUAAUUUGAGGUACACAUUUGAACUUGUUCUUGGUGUAAUUUCUCCAGUGGAAUGAAAAGGCAGUUACUGUUUGACAUUCAUUAAAGUUUACUGUUUUUUUAGUUUACUAUGAUACAGUCAGCUUUAAGAUUUGUAUGGUAAGUUUGUGCCUUAACGCGCCUGUAGGGAUUAGUUGGGUCAUUACAUGUUAUAUACAGCUUUGUAACCUGUGGACAAUGGGUACCUGCAUAAUUAGGAUUGUUGUUUGAUCGAUUUGAGUUGUUUUGAAUGGUGAUGGACCGUUAACUCUAAAUAUGUAACUUAUUUCUGAUGGAA